rnacentral:ncRNA from 2 species
AUCUUCGCAUUUGCGACAGGUUCCCCACAAGGGAUUGAAUGGGAAUUCGGGUGCAAAACCCGGGCUGCCCCUGCAACUGUAAGCGGAUAGUCACAGGCCAAAUGCCAUUGGGAUCGUCCAGAUUCUGAGAAGGCGGCCUGGAUGGCAACGACCCGCGAGCCAGGAGACCUGCCUGCCGCAGUCGUUCUUC